GAGCAUGGUGCAGUGGUUUAAACGUUGGGCUAGGACUCUGGAGACCAGGGUUCAAGUCCCUGCUCA